rnacentral:lncRNA from 1 species
UUGGGAUUAGGGUUUUGACCUCUGGUCAACCCUAAUCAGUUGCAUUCUACCAGUCAGGGUUUUUUAAGGAGAUGAGGUCUUUAUUGAGAUGGAGAUCAUCAUAUGGUUUUAUUGAGCUUGUAUAAGCUAGGGUUUCAUUUUGGAGCCAUUUCAUCAAGUGUUGAAGGCUCAAAGUCCAAAGUGCAUGACCAAGUCAACUGCAAGUCAACUGCAAAG